CCUACGGGAGGCAGCAGUGGGGAAUAUUGCACAAUGGGGGGAACCCUGAUGCAGCGACGCCGCGUGAGUGAAGAAGUAUUUCGGUAUGUAAAGCUCUAUCAGCAGGGAAGAAAAUGACGGUACCUGACUAAGAAUCCCCGGCUAACUACGUGCCAGCAGCCGCGGUAAUACGUAGGGGGCAAGCGUUAUCCGGAUUUACUGGGUGUAAAGGGAGCGCAGACGGCUGUGCAAGUCUGGAGUGAAAGGCGGGGGCCCAACCCCCGGACUGCAUUGGAAACUGUAAAGCUUGAGUGCAGGAGAGGGAAGCGGAAGUCCUAGUGUAGCGGUGAAAUGCGUAGAUAUUAGGAGGAACACCAGUGGCGAAGGCGGCUUACUGGACUGUAACUGACGUUGAGGCUCGAAAGCGUGGGGAGCAAACAGGAUUAGAUACCCCUGUAGUC
rnacentral:rRNA from 1 species